AACGAACGCUGGCGGCAUGCCUAACACAUGCAAGUCGAACGAGAUCUUCGGGUCUAGUGGCGCACGGGUGCGUAACGCGUGGGAAUCUGCCCUUUGGUUCGGAAUAACAGUUGGAAACGACUGCUAAUACCGGAUGAUGACGAAAGUCCAAAGAUUUAUCGCCAGAGGAUGAGCCCGCGUAGGAUUAGCUAGUUGGUGUGGUAAAGGCGCACCAAGGCGACGAUCCUUAGCUGGUCUGAGAGGAUGAUCAGCCACACUGGGACGGAGACACGGCCGAGACUCCUGCGGGAGGGAGGAGUGGGGAAUAUUGGAAAAUGGGCGAAAGCCUGAGCCAGCAAUGCCGCGUGAGUGAUGAAGGCCUUAGGGUUGUAAAGCUCUUUUACCCGGGAUGAUAAUGACAGUACCGGGAGAAUAAGCUCCGGCUAACUCCGUGCCAGCCGCCGCCGUAA
rnacentral:rRNA from 1 species